UAACAGUAAAUAAAACUAGUUCAACCAAUAAGAAAAAAAUACAGUAUUUUACAACUCGUCAAAAAUUUUGAAUGACAUUAAAUUUUUGUUCCGACUGGUGACAAUUCUGGAAACAAGAAGAACGAAUAGGAAAUGAACGUAGAGAAAUAAAAUAACAGGAAUGAAAAUAAAAGGUUGCUCCUUCUCAAAUAUAACAAGAAAUAA
rnacentral:lncRNA from 1 species